rnacentral:rRNA from 1 species
UACGGAGGGAGCGAGCGUUGUCCGAAGUUACUGGGCGUAAAGCGCGCGUAGGCGGGAAAUUAAGUGAGAAGUGAAAGGCUGGGGCUCAACCCCAUGCAGUGCUCCUCAUACUGGUUUUCUUGAGGGUGGUAGAGAGAAGUGGAAUGGCUGGUGUAGCGGUGAAAUGCGUAGAUAUCAGUCGGAACACCAGUGGCGAAGGCGGCUUCUUGGGCCAUUACUGACGGCUGAGGCGCGAAAGCCAGGGGAGCGAACGGG